ensembl:snRNA U2 U2 spliceosomal RNA
AUCGCUUCUCGGCCUCCUAUGGCUAAGAUCAAGUGUAGUAUCUGUUCUUAUCAGUUUAAUAUCUGAUAUGUUCUCUAUAUGAGAAC